GCGAGCCUGUGAGCUUCUGCACGACGUCGCGGAAGUCGGACUUGUCGAUGUUGUACACGGGGGGCUGGGGAGGCGGGUGGUCGGCAGGGAUGGAGGAGGCCUGCGGCGGCGGCGGCGGCGGCGGCGGGAGAGGAGGAGGCGGGCGGGGAGCCGGCGGCGGCGGGGAAGGCGCUCGCAUGGUGGAGGCGGGAACGGGAGCGGGAGAGGCGGAAGACGACUGCUUGGAGAUCUUGUAGGAGGCCUUGUUGAGGGACUUGAGCGAGGAGGGUGCUGAGGAGGCGGAGGGAGGAGGCGGCUGCUGCUGCUGUGGGAGGUUGGACUUGUC
rnacentral:lncRNA from 1 species